UAGGUGAGACAACCACAUAUCACAGUCAGUUCCUUGAUAAAGUAGCUAUCAGCAAAGUCAGAACUAGUCGGAAAAGACAAAAACGUGUGUUUCUUCAGGGAGGGGGGGGGUAAGACUGAGAUGUCUUGUUUAAGAUGCACUUAAUCUACUGUCAUUUCAGUUCUAGUUGUUGUAUAUCUCAUGUUCGUCUUUGUUAUAGGUCUUACUCCUCACUAAGACAAACAGUGUUAUCUAAUGUCCCUGUAGACUUCUUCUUCGCUCCAUCAUCUGCGUUGUUAAGUAUCCUGCAGUUUCCCUAAAACUUGAACCACAGCUGCUGUGUGUUUGGUAUCUUUCAUCACUGUCAUGACCUGGAUUCAAGACUGAUUGUAUCAGGAAGGCCUUUAGUUUCAAGGCUCUGAUGAGAAACCAUUAUAGGAGCUUUAGGAGACCAGAUGAGAACACUUAACCGUGCAUUUGUACAGGCAGAGGCUGUAUCUAACUAUGUGUCUCUCUCUCUUUUCAUUCUUUCUUUCUUUCUCUCUCCUCUCUUUCUCUCUUCUGUCUCUCUUAUCUUUUUCUACAUACUCUCUCUCUCUCUCUCCCUGCCGUUCCUAUCUCUCUCUCUCUCUCUCUCUCUCUCUCUCUCUCUCUCUCUCUCUCUCGCUCUCUCUCUUUUCAGCUCCCACCAGAUCCCACUACAGUACAGACAGUGACUCCUUUAUCUCCAAGUCAGCCUCGUUGCCAGGCUAUGGCAGGAACGGACUGCACAGGCCCCAGAGUGCAGAUUAUUUCCAGUACGACAGCAGCAGUGCAGUUAACUGGG